rnacentral:sRNA from 12 species
AAACGUUGAUAUUAAGCGCUGUUUCAAGAUGCAGUGUUUAAUGGAGUUUUGUAAGGGUUGUAUAUUUACCACAACUUGAAUAGGAAUUUUCCGAAAGAAAAUAUGCAAA